AGUGAACGCUGGCGGUAGGCCUAACACAUGCAAGUCGAACGGCAGCACAGUAAGAGCUUGCUCUUACGGGUGGCGAGUGGCGGACGGGGGAGGAAUACAUCGGAAUCUACUUGUGCGUGGGGGAUAACGUAGGGAAACUUACGCUAAUACCGCAUACGACCUACGGGUGAAAGCAGGGGAUCUUCGGACCUUGCGCGAUUGAAUGAGCCGAUGUCGGAUUAGCUAGUUGGCGGGGUAAAGGCCCACCAAGGCGACGAUCCGUAGCUGGUCUGAGAGGAUGAUCAGCCACACUGGAACUGAGACACGGUCCAGACUCCUACGGGAGGCAGCAGUGGGGAAUAUUGGACAAUGGGCGCAAGCCUGAUCCAGCCAUACCGCGUGGGUGAAGAAGGCCUUCGGGUUGUAAAGCCCUUUUGUUGGGAAAGAAAAGCAGCAGGUUAAUACCCCGCUGUUCUGACGGUACCAAAAGAAUAAGCACCGGCUAACUUCGUG
rnacentral:rRNA from 1 species